rnacentral:rRNA from 1 species
GACGAACGCUGGCGGCGUGCUUAACACAUGCAAGUCGAACGGGUCUGCCCUGUUUUUUGCGGGGUGGGUCAGUGGCGAACGGGUGAGUAACACGUGAGUAACCUGCCCCUCACUUCUGGAUAACCGCUUGAAAGGGUGGCUAAUACGGGGUGUUCAGGCUGUGCCGCAUGGUGUGGCUGGGAAAGAUUCACUUUCGUGGUGUUUUGGUGGGGGAUGGGCUCGCGGCCUAUCAGCUUGUUGGUGGGGUGAUGGCCUGCCAAGGCUUUGACGGGUAGCCGGCCUGGGAGGGUGGGCGGUCACACUGGGGCUGAGAGGCGGCCCAGACUACUGCGGGAGGCAGCAGGGGGGGGUAUUGCACAAUGGGAGGAAGCAUGAUGCAGCGACGUGGCGUGAGGGAUGGAGGCCUUCGGGUUGUGAACCUCUUUCGCCGGUGAAGAAGGUCCUGCUCUUUGUGGUGGGGUUGACGGUAGCCGGGUUAUGAAGCGCCGGCUAACUACGUG